rnacentral:lncRNA from 10 species
GUUUUUAGUAGAGACAGGACUUCACCAUGUUGGCCAGGCUGGUCUCAAAUUCCUGACCUCAAGUGAUGUGCCCACCUCGGCUGCCCAAAGUGCUGGGAUUACAGGCAUGAGCUUCUGUGCCCGGCCUGAACUGUUAAGUGUUUGUGAAGAAUUAUUUGGGGGCCUAUUUGAGAGCUGUUAUAUGGAUCAUCCUCCUGGAGAGGGUUCUUAAGCCUCUGAGACCGGGUUUGGGGCUGAGGCUUUCUGACCCACACAAGUCAUGCUGACCCCUGAAGGGCCGCAGGCCAGAUCUUGCCAGGUGAGCACUUUCCCCGCUCACAUUCAGGAUAGGGCGAGGGGGUUGGUACCGAUUCACCCUCAGGGCCUAGAUUUGGGGGCUUCAGCUUGCUGCAGAUAGGUGCUCCCUUCACUCUCACCUGAGGCUGGGCUGGAGCCUGGUGUCUGCCCCACCCUGCUGGUCAGCCCCCUAGGACCUGAGCCCCGUAAGCCUGGACUGGCCACGCCCUGGGGCAGCAGCACUGGGUGCUUGGCGCUCACGACCUUCCUGGGCCCCUGGGUCCCUCACUUCUCCCUUGUUUCUACCUUCCUGGCUUGUCAGAUUCCCACAGCUCUUAAGGAGAAAUUCAGUAUUUACUGCAGCAUGUGUUUUCAGUGUGAUGGUUCAUCUAGGUACCCUAGCCUGUCAUUGCUGGAGUUGGAAAUCUCUGUUGUCUGCUGUUGUUUUGUGAAACAAGCGCGUGAGGUUAUAAGUUUCCCUCAACGUACCACACUAACCACAUUUCCCUAAGUUUUGAUGUGUAGUGUUUUCACUGCCAUUCAGUUCAAAAUAUUUUCUCAUUUCAAGUAUGAUGUCUUCUUUGA